AGCGCUUUUAGGCAAAAUAAAAGUCAAUCCUCUGUUGCACACUAGUUAUGAUAGUAAUAAAAUAAAAAUAAAAACAUUAUUUACAGCACCGCGAUAUUUGCAUUUAUUUAAUGAAGAAUAUAACUUUACAGCAGACAAAAACGUAAGAUUUUUUUUCAACAAAAACAUUUUCAUGCUGGUUUCCUGGAAUAUAUUUUCUAUUCGUAUGUCACAAGCGUCAUAGACUGGUUAACAUGCCAGAUCUGUUAUCGAUUAAAAAAAAGAUACAAAUACAUUUGAAAAGUAUUGUAAAUUGUUAAUUGCAGUUAAAAAUUAAAUUAAAAUAAAUCAACUUUGACAGCUGUCCAAGAUAUGUCAGAGCGCGAGACAGAUCCCCGCGCGCGCUCACUGACAAGUGUCACUCCGCGCGAGAACACGAAUAGGUUCUGUCAGCGUUCUCUGAGGUUUAAACGUGAGGUCAAAUGUAAUUUUAUAUUAAUUUACUUAGGUCACCCAUUUAUCGAGAAACGUGAGACUAACUGUGCUUUUGAGAGGUCGAGACCAGUACUUUUGAAAUAGCCUGCUAACAUAAUAAACAGGUAUAUGGUUAAAUUGCUAGCCCUCAAUUGAACAAAAGAUUUUUUCUAAAUACUGACUGACUGACUGACUCACUUAACUCGCCACCGAAACAGUUUAUAUUAUUGUUAAUAUUCUUUUAACCCAUUCAUAGUAUGAAGGGUAUGGAAGACCAAGUUUUGGAGGAAGAGUCGGGCUUUCAGGAUGAUGAGGAAUCCUUUUUUCAAGACAUAGAGCUCUUACAGAAGCAUGGCAUUAACAUGGCUGACAUCAAGAAGCUGAAGUCUGUGGGGAUUUGUACUGUGAAAGGGAUCCAGAUGACCACACGCCGUGCUCUCUGUAAUGUUAAGGGACUGUCUGAGGCUAAAGUGGACAAAAUAAAGGAAGCAGCUGGAAAGUUGCUGUAUUGUGGAUUUCAAACAGCUUCUGAAUAUAGUGUGAAAAGGAAACAAGUCUUCCACAUCUCAACUGGCAGUUUGGAAUUUGAUAAACUCCUUGGAGGAGGUGUGGAGAGUAUGGCCAUUACUGAAGCUUUUGGCGAGUUCAGAACUGGAAAGACUCAACUCUCUCACACACUGUGUGUAACUGCUCAGCUGCCUGGAGAGUAUGGGUACACCGGAGGAAAGGUCAUCUUCAUUGAUUCUGAAAACACCUUUCGCCCAGAGAGGCUGAGGGACAUUGCUGACAGGUUCAAUGUGGAUCAUGAAGCUGUAUUGGAUAAUGUGUUGUAUGCCCGUGCAUAUACAAGUGAGCACCAAAUGGAAUUAUUAGACUUUGUUGCAGCCAAGUUUCAUGAAGAGGGAGGUGUCUUCAAGCUUCUGAUAAUAGACUCAAUUAUGGCUCUUUUCCGGGUGGACUUCUCUGGAAGAGGUGAGCUGGCUGAAAGACAGCAGAAGCUUGCACAAAUGCUCUCUAGACUGCAAAAGAUCUCUGAAGGUCCUCGUGGUGGCGUAGUGACUCACCUCAAUCCGGGUGGCAGAGGACGAAUCUCAGUUGCCUCUGCGUCUGAGACAGUCAAUCCGCGCAUCUUAUCACGUUGCUUGUUGAGCAUGUUACCGUGGAGACAUAGCGUGUGUGGAGGCUUCACUAUAUUCUCCGUAGCAUCCAAGCACAACUCACCACGUGCCCCACCAAAGAGUGAGAACCACAAUAUAGCGACCACAAGGAGGAUACCCCAUGUGACUCUACCCUCCCUAGCAACCGGGCCAAUUUGGUUGCUUAGGAGACCUGGCUGGAGUCACUCAGCACGCCCUGGAUUGGAACUCACGACUCCAGGGGUGGUAGUCAGCGUCUUUACUCACUGAGCUACCCAGGCCUUCCUAACACAGGACGUUUAUCUUUAAACAAGCCCAAAGCACACCAGGGACUAUUAUUUUGAAAUAACGGAGACUUGGCUGGUAUAGAUUUUUUUGUUUUUUGGAGAGCUGUGGCUCAAACUGUGCUUUUCUGCUUGGGUUUUGUGUUCUGAUAUAGUUGCACUGCCACUAAUGCUAGUUCAUCAGCCAUACAGAGGACAACUCAAAUUGGUAUAGAUUUUUGCCAAUAACCAAUAGUUCCAAAAAGCAACUAUCGGCAUCGAUUGAUCGGUAAAGCAGAUAUAUCAAUCAACCUCUACCUGAUACUAGUCAGUUUUAUCGACGGUUAAUUAAGCUGAUGGUCUUAACAUGUGGACUUUAUUCUCUGGCCUUGUGCAAUAAUAUUUGUGGGAUGUAGAGUACAACGUUGCAGUAUUUGUUACCAAUCAAAUGACUGCAGAUCCAGGAGCUGGAAUGACGUAAGUAUAGCAACGAUCAUUAAAGUUUGGAAAACAAACACAUUCAAGUGCUACACAUCCAUGGAAAUGGAAUGUCUUAUUGCUCUUCAACCUAACUGGAAAAAAUUGCUCUUAGAUUUCAAGCAGAUCCCAAAAAGCCUAUUGGAGGACACAUACUGGCGCAUGCCUCCACCACACGCAUCAGCUUGAGAAAAGGACGUGCUGAGCUGAGAAUUGCCAAGAUAUUUGAUAGCCCAGACAUGCCAGAAAAUGAG